GUGUGUACGCUUUAUGUAAUAGUAAUAGGAGUUAUACACUCUAUACUCACUAGGACAGCCAUCGAUGCCACACACCACGCGAAAGUCGGGGCUGCGACUGUGUAAAGAGUUGAUGUGACUCAAUAGGUUUUUCAGUGUCAACGCCACAAAAAUGAAGCAUAUGAAACAACGCCAGAUCAUCUUGGAGGAGCAAGGUUCCUAAGGUUAAGGCGAGAGCAGCAAGCCAACACGUUAUAUCCAGCCCAAGAGAAAUUACCGGUAGUUUAUCACUUUUAAAUGUGGGGUGUAAGCUCUUAUUUAGUUAUCUUUACAGAAUAAUUCAUCUGAAAUGGGCAACAAUUUAGUCUAGCUAUACACAAUUGUAACACAUAUAUACAUAAUAAAUUCUUAAAAAUACUAAAAAACUAGUUGUUUUUAAAUUCAUUUGAAAAUUAAUUACUGCCAUAAACCCCUGUUUUGGAAAUGGUAGCAGUCUUUGGCUCAGCAGUGGGCAGGCUGUCCCGCUAUUUUACGUUAGCCCUCAUUAAAGAGAGAGAGGACCCACUCCAUGACUAUUUCCGUCUCUGAAAAACUACGUGUUUUAUUCAGAAUCUAAGUGAGCAUAAUACAUUCACCCGUUCUUUAAAGGAGUGAGACCUGAGAAGGAGAUCACCUGUUUAUCGUGUCUGUUGAAAGUUGGACAUGCGCAGUAUGGAACACACACGGCUCACUGGAGGGAACGUUACAGCUGCAAACGUAAGUGUAGAAAUGAUCAGCUCUCUGUCUCGCGAAGACCCGCGGGACCUUUUCCCAGGCCCAGAGAACUUCUUGCGACGAAAUGCGGUCUGGCGAAUCUGUCAUGGUGUUUCGGAAGAGGAAACUGUAGUCUCAAAAUCAACAAGCAGUU
ensembl:lncRNA